rnacentral:rRNA from 1 species
UAAAACUUUCAAACAACGGAUCUCUUGGUUCUGGCAUCGAU